AUUGAACGCUGGCGGCAGGCUUAACACAUGCAAGUCGAGCGAGCCACGGACGGGUGAGUAAUGUCUGGGAAACUGCCUGAUGGAGGGGGAUAACUACUGGAAACGGUAGCUAAUACCGCAUACCAUCAGAUGUUCCCAUAUGGGAUUAGCUAGUAGGUGGGGUAAUGGCUCAGCUAGGUGACGCUCCCUUGCUGUUCUGAGAGGAUGACCAGCAACAGUGGAAAUGGGACAAUGGCCAGACUCGGACGGGAGGCAGCAGUGAGGAAUAUUGCACAAUGGGCACAAGGCUAAUGCAGCCAAGGCGCGGGUGUGAAGAAGGCCUUCGGGUUGUAAAGCACGUUAAGCGAGGAGGCGUUACUCGCAGAAGAAGCACCGGCUAACUCCGUGCCAGCAGCCGCGGUAAUUC
rnacentral:rRNA from 1 species